rnacentral:rRNA from 1 species
UACGUAGGGUGCAAGCGUUGUCCGGAAUUAUUGGGCGUAAAGAGCUCGUAGGCGGUUUGUCGCGUCUGCUGUGAAAACUCAGGGCUUAACCCUGAGCCUGCAGUGGGUACGGGCAGACUAGAGUGUGGUAGGGGAGAUCGGAAUUCCUGGUGUAGCGGUGGAAUGCGCAGAUAUCAGGAGGAACACCCGUAGCGAAGGCGGCACUCUGGGCCGAUACUGACGCUGAGGAGCGAAAGCGUGGGGAGCGAACAGG